rnacentral:rRNA from 1 species
GACGAACGCUUGCGGCGUGCUUAACACAUGCAAGUCGAACGGAAAGGCCCUGCUUUUGUGGGGUGCUCGAGUGGCGAACGGGUGAGUAACACGUGAGUAACCUGCCCUUGACUUUGGGAUAACUUCAGGAAACUGGGGCUAAUACCGGAUAGGAGCUCCUGCUGCAUGGUGGGGGUUGGAAAGUUUCGGCGGUUGGGGAUGGACUCGCGGCUUAUCAGCUUGUUGGUGGGGUAGUGGCUUACCAAGGCUUUGACGGGUAGCCGGCCUGAGAGGGUGACCGGCCACAUUGGGACUGAGAUACGGCCCAGACUCCUACGGGAGGCAGCAGUGGGGAAUAUUGCACAAUGGGCGGAAGCCUGAUGCAGCAACGCCGCGUGCGGGAUGACGGCCUUCGGGUUGUAAACCGCUUUCGCCUGUGACGAAGCGUGAGUGACGGUAAUGGGUAAAGAAGCACCGGCUAACUACGUGCCAGCAGCCGCGGUGAUACGUAGGGUGCGAGCGUUGUCCGGAUUUAUUGGGCGUAAAGGGCUCGUAGGUGGUUGAUCGCGUCGGAAGUGUAAUCUUGGGGCUUAACCCUGAGCGUGCUUUCGAUACGGGUUGACUUGAGGAAGGUAGGGGAGAAUGGAAUUCCUGGUGGAGCGGUGGAAUGCGCAGAUAUCAGGAGGAACACCAGUGGCGAAGGCGGUUCUCUGGGCCUUUCCUGACGCUGAGGAGCGAAAGCGUGGGGAGCGAACAGGCUUAGAUACCCUGGUAGUCCACGCUGUAAACGGUGGGUACUAGGUGUGGGGUCCAUUCCACGGGUUCCGUGCCGUAGCUAGCGCUUUAAGUACCCCGCCUGGGGAGUACGGCCGCAAGGCUAAAACUCAAAGGAAUUGACGGGGCCCCGCACAAGCGGCGGAGCAUGCGGAUUAAUUCGAUGCAACGCGUAGAACCUUACCUGGGUUUGACAUGGAUCGGGAGUGCUCAGAGAUGGGUGUGCCUCUUUUGGGGUCGGUUCACAGGUGGUGCAUGGCUGUCGUCAGCUCGUGUCGUGAGAUGUUGGGUUAAGUCCCGCAACGAGCGCAACCCUUGUUCACUGUUGCCAGCACGUUAUGGUGGGGACUCAGUGGAGACCGCCGGGGUCAACUCGGAGGAAGGUGGGGAUGACGUCAAGUCAUCAUGCCCCUUAUGUCCAGGGCUUCACGCAUGCUACAAUGGCUGGUACAGAGAGUGGCGAGCCUGUGAGGGUGAGCGAAUCUCGGAAAGCCGGUCUCAGUUCGGAUUGGGGUCUGCAACUCGACCUCAUGAAGUCGGAGUCGCUAGUAAUCGCAGAUCAGCAACGCUGCGGUGAAUACGUUCCCGGG